GGAAGGUCCGGGCGUUAUCCGGAUUUAUUGGGUUUAAAGGGAGCGUAGGCCGGAGAUUAAGCGUGUUGUGAAAUGUAGACGCUCAACGUCUGCACUGCAGCGCGAACUGGUUUCCUUGAGUACGCACAAAGUGGGCGGAAUUCGUGGUGUAGCGGUGAAAUGCUUAGAUAUCACGAAGAACUCCGAUUGCGAAGGCAGCCGGCUGUAGUGUUACUGACGCUGAAGCUCGAAAGUGCGGGUAU
rnacentral:rRNA from 1 species